rnacentral:rRNA from 1 species
CAGCCGCCGCGGUAAUACGAAGGGUGCAAGCGUUAAUCGGAAUUACUGGGCGUAAAGCGUGCGUAGGCGGUGAGUUAAGUCUGCUGUGAAAUCCCCGGGCUCAACCUGGGAAUGGCAGUGGAUACUGGCUCGCUAGAGUGUGUCAGAGGAUGGUGGAAUUCCCGGUGUAGCGGUGAAAUGCGUAGAUAUCGGAAGGAACACCUGUGGCGAAAGCGGCUCACUGGACCAUUUCUGACGCUGAGGAGCGAAAGCGUGGGGAGCGAACAGGAUUAGAUACCCGUGUAGUCCCUGUCUCUUAUAC